CUUUCUUUAUUUUUCUGUGUACAGAUGUGAGCUAUAGAUGGAGUGGUGAUGUGCCCACAUAGAUAAGUUAAAUCGACAUGCUGUACACGUGGCCUACAUCUGAUAUAAAUAUUUGUUUUGUCCCAAAUCAGGGCGAUUGCUUAGAGAGAAUCUAUUAACAGGAUUUGGAUUACUUCACAGGGUAAUCGAAAAAAGCUCAUUAAAAACAAACACCAGGGCAAUAGCGUCAUCAUGUCAGGUCAAUUACUGCUGUGAUUGUAACGCAGAAGAGCUUGGCUUUGAUUACAAUCGUACAUCACUAAAAACCCAGCAGUGAAUGACAGUUUUCAUACAACUCACGACAUAUGGAAGCCUUAAGGCAUAUGAAAUGGCUGCUACGAUCAAGAGAAAAGCAUUUUACACACGCGGAUGAUUACCAGGGUUUGUGGUCAAAAGGCACUGAUCCAGGACAUUCCUUGUUCACACUGGCAGGUUAAAAACAGUGUUCUGGUAACACACUAGGGUACAUGAAAGCUACAUUAGGAAAGGUAACACACACAUUGUACUUUUAUAUCUUUCAAUUUAAGUCGAACAACUUUGUCAUGGGCAAAAAUGGCGGGUGAAAUGGUCAAUCAAGGUUAGUCAUGAAGUCCUGGUGGCAUGGGAGAUUUCUUAAUUUGUGUAAAAUACUCUGAAAAGCCUGCCUGGGGCGAGAAGUCUUGCGUAAUUAUUAAUUAUUCUUUUUAUGAACUGUUUCAUAGUCAAAACAAAUUGCCUGAAGGUAUAUUCAGAGAUAUCAUUUCAUCAUAUUAAGGGCUGAUAUCAUAGCUUCAUUUUGAUUUAAAUAUAGAAAGUUUACUCAUGUCUAGGAGUGAUAUGGCCAAUAGCUCUUAACUUAGAAAAUCAGCAUAAACUGGUUAUCUAAUCUAUAACUUUGCAGUGAUAUGCAUAUAUAUUAUACACACAUAUAAAACCCAUUCAAACCACAAGUAGUUUUCAAAUCAAUACAGAACUGAAAUGAUUGACGUUCAUGUUUCUCGUGCAUUUUUCUGUUCUCCCUCCUCAUUUUAAUGGAAAUGUAGUGGAUAGCUAAACAAGGAUCAGCAAGUUCCCCAUUUUCAAUAAAUUCUGAAAUAUUUGUUGAACUGAAACUAGACCUUAUAUCUACAUGUAUUCGCUGUUGGGAUUUUUAUGCAUUUGCUUAUUUUGAACACACACACACACACACACACACACACACACACACACACACACACACACACACACACACACACACACACACACACACACACACACACACACACACACACACACACACAGCGAGGGAUAACAGUUAUUGCAUGGGCACAUCACCACACUAAUCUAUGUUUUGGGAAUAUGACAGAACUGAAAGAUUGGGAAAAGAUGGAAUUUGAGAAAAUGUUGCAGCCAAGACCGCACAGGCUGCAACAUUUACUCAUACAAUCAUAAUCUACCCCAUAGUGUCACAAGUUAUAUAAAAUAUGCAAGAAUAUGAAAAAAAAAAAAAGAACAUCAAAAGUACAUGAUAUGAUGCAUUGCACCAUUAAAUCAUUCAAUUAAAGUGGCACAUUCAAAGUAUAUUGAUACAGCAUUGAUGGAGAAGGCUGUGACUGAGGAAGACUCAACACACACUCACACACAAGCACACACACACAUGCACACAAAAGCAAAGUACACAUAUAUAGGCAGAUAAUGAUCAGUAAUUGAUUAAAUCUAUUUUUUGUUUUACCAGCAAAGGUGUCAAAAUUCUAAACAUGUAGCCAGGACUCGGUUCAGACACAGCACGAAGCAACCCUUGAUGUGAACUCCAUAUUUAUAAUCUAUUCUGUGCUCUGUGUCCAACUGUGAUGGAGGCUGUCCUGGUAUGCAGUCCGGCCUGUGAUCAGUCCUGCUCAUCGAUUGUCACUUACCAUUUCAUUUAAACAGUCUUUAAAGUGCCUUGGGGCUUUUCAUGAUGAAAUCACCUUUGGAAAUUACUUUCUUAUCCUUACAUUCCCUUAUCGAGUUUUGAUCUUGUGCUACUGAGCGCAUUUGCUGCAUUAGACAUGGAAAAGCUUGCCUUAAUUGUAGCGACUACUAAAUAACAAGUGGUCGUAGAAAACACUGUUUGUGCAAGGCCUGUGCGCAAAUGUGCAUUUAGAUGCGUAGAAGCAAAAAUGUACAGAGCCCUAUUUAGUACGUCCCUUUGCUUUCGAGACUGUGGCACAAGUGAAUACUGUAUCAAUCUCUCGUGUCAAAAACAGAAUGACAUAAAUAACACUGCUUGUUGUGAUUUCCCUUAUUCUCCCUUGAAUUCCCUGCGUUACCUACUCACACACUAAUGGCACUUUUUUAUAGAAUCUCAUUCUUUUCCCUUAGGUCAAGUAAAAACUUCAAUCAAGUAAAAAAAAACAAACGAAUAUGGUAAGAUUAUACAUUUGAACAAACGUUUCAUUGAAAAAAAUUAAUAAACGUAUGGUUUAAGGGACCACAGCAUUUUACUUUACAUCUUUAAGGGGAUUGGCCCGGAUGUCUUUUUCUUCGUAUGCUCAAUAGUCAUGUUAGAUGAGUCCAUGGUUCUUGUUCUGAAAGGCACUUAAUGACAAAAGAAAAAGUAGAAUAAAGUACUUCCUUCUAACCCCCCCCCCCCCCCAUCUCUUUCAGACAUAUCUGUCGUUUAUUUGUCUGUGUUCAACACAGCGGCAGGUCACAUUCCACUGGAAAAAAAGGUUAGUAGCACUUAUUUUCAUUACUCUAGCUAAGGUUUGCUUUCAAACCGACGAGGGACAACAUCCCACCAAUAAGAUCAAUAUACUCUCUUCUUUUGUGAAAAAAUAUAGCAACAAAACAUAAACCAAUGUUUUAAUGCAGAAAUGCCCUGCCCAUACAACGGCACCUAGGCUGUCCGGUCCAAAGACAGGACUUUGGAGGGCAG
ensembl:lncRNA